GAUGAAGAACGCAGCGAAAUGCGAUAAGUAAUGUGAAUUGCAGAAUUCAGUGAAUCAUCGAAUCUUUGAACGCACAUUGCGCCCGCCAGUAUUCUGGCGGGCAUGCCUGUUCGAGCGUUAUUACAACCCUCAGGCCCCCGGGCCUGGCGUUGGGGAUCGGCAGAAGCCCCCUGUGGGCACACGCCGUCCCUCAAAUACAGUGGCGGUCCCGCCGCAGCUUCCAUUGCGUAGUAGCUAACACCUCGCAACUGGAGAGCGGCGCGGCCAUGCCGUAAAACACCCAACUUCUGAAUGUUGACCUCGAAUCAGGUAGGAAUACCCGCUGAACUUAAGCAUAUCAAUAAGCGGAGGA
rnacentral:misc_RNA from 1 species